ACUUUAAGUCUCCUGAAGGAACUUUAAGUCUCCUGAAGGAACGUUGAAGACGACGACGUUGAUAGGUCGGGUGUGUAAGCGCAGCGAUGCGUUGAGCUAACCGAUACUAAUGAACCGUGAGGCUUAACCUU
rnacentral:rRNA from 1 species